GAGUGAAGCGGCAACAGCUCAAAUUUGAAAUCUGGCCCUAGCGGUCCGAGUUGUAAUUUGUAGAGGAUGCUUUUGGUUAGGUGCCUUCUGAGUUCCCUGGAACGGGACGCCAGAGAGGGUGAGAGCCCCGUACGGUUGGACACCGAGCCUCUAUAUAGCUCCUUCGACGAGUCGAGUAGUUUGGGAAUGCUGCUCUAAAUGGGAGGUAAAUUUCUUCUAAAGCUAAAUACCGGCCAGAGACCGAUAGCGCACAAGUAGAGUGAUCGAAAGAUGAAAAGUACUUUGAAAAGAGGGUUAAAUAGCACGUGAAAUUGUUGAAAGGGAAGCGUUUGCGACCAGACUUUUUCCAGGCGGAUCAUCCGGUGUUCUCACCGGUGCACUUCGCCUGGUUUAGGCCAGCAUCGGUUCUCUUAGGGGGAUAAAGGCCUGGGGAACGUAGCUCCUUCGGGAGUGUUAUAGCCCCUUGCGUAAUACCCUUCGGGGGACCGAGGAACGCGCAUCUGCAAGGAUGCUGGCGUAAUGGUCGUCAACGACCCGUCUUGAAACACGGACCAAGGAGUCGAACAUUUGUGCGA
rnacentral:rRNA from 1 species